UACGGAGGAUCCAAGCGUUAUCCGGAAUCAUUGGGUUUAAAGGGUCCGUAGGCGGUUUGGUAAGUCAGUGGUGAAAGCCCAUCGCUCAACGGUGGAACGGCCAUUGAUACUGCCAGACUUGAAUUAUUAGGAAGUAACUAGAAUAUGUAGUGUAGCGGUGAAAUGCUUAGAGAUUACAUGGAAUACCAAUUGGCGAAGGCAGGUUACUACUAAUCGGAUUGACGCUGAUGGACGAAAGCGUGGGUAGCGAACAGG
rnacentral:rRNA from 1 species